rnacentral:rRNA from 1 species
GACGAACGCUGGCGGCGUGCUUAACACAUGCAAGUCGAACGGAAAGGCCCUGCUUUUGUGGGUUGCUCGAGUGGCGAACGGGUGAGUAACACGUGAGUAACCUGCCCUUGACUUUGGGAUAACUUCAGGAAACUGGGGCUAAUACCGGAUAGGAGCUCCUGCUGCAUGGUGGGGGUUGGUCAGUUUCGGCGGUUGGGGAUGGUCUCGCGGCUUAUCAGCUUGUUGGUUGGGUAUUGGCUUACCAAGGCUUUGACGGGUAGCCGGCCUGAGAGGGUUACCGGCCACAUUGGGACUGAGAUACGGCCCAGACUACUACGGGAGGCAGCAGUGGGGAAUAUUGCACAAUGGGCGGAAGCCUGAUGCAGCAACGCCGCGUGCGGGAUGACGGCAUUCGGGUUGUAAACCGCUUUCGCCUGUGACGAAGCGUGAGUGACGGUAAUGGGUAAAGAAGCACCGGCUAACUACGUG